AUGGAACGUGGAGGUGGAGGACCCCUCCUUUCGACCCUAGUCCUGGCUUCCCUCGGGGAUGGGGAGGCCAGAGGAUCUGGGAAAAACACUGCUCCCUUCACUGAACGCCACUAUGUAGCAGCGUCCACCAAAAGAGAUAAAGUGACGAAACGCUGCAAAGCUGCGGGGCGGGAGGAAGUUGGGUUUGCUCCUACCGACUCCCAAGAGGAAGUGCGAUCGGGAACCUCCUAUAUACUUCCGUUUGCGGCGCGGCUUCUUUCUUUCUUCCCGUGCCGAUAUCGCUCUUGCAAGCAUGGUUAACGUCCCUAAAACCCGCCGGACUUUCUGUAAGAAGUGUGGCAAGCACCAACCCCACAAAGUGACACAGUACAAGAAGGGCAAGGAUUCUCUGUAUGCCCAGGGAAAGCGGCGUUAUGACAGGAAGCAGAGUGGCUAUGGUGGGCAAACUAAGCCGAUUUUCCGGAAAAAGGUGAGUGGUAAUUACUAUUUGACGUUUCCCACUUAAUUGCAGUAAGGAUGUAUACUUGUCUCUAGUCCACACACUUCAUUAUAUAGGUAUAGCGUUAGUUUAGCGAAGUUUUCACAGUUGACUGCAGUGAUAUAUCUAGUAGGUGAUGGAGCUGGGAAUGCAACUCAGGUCUGAUUAGUCCACAAUACUGCACUAUUUCAGUGUUUACGAUUUUUUAUCCUUUCCCCUCUGAAGAGGCAAAAAAUUGAGGAAUGUGCCCUGCUUUCCUAAGAACUGAGGUGUGAGUACGCUUGUAAAUCCUUUCAUUUGCUUUGUUCCUUAUCUGUCAUCAUGUCUGAAUCCUCGACUGUUGGUUGCACUAAGUUCUGUUGUUUCUCAUCACAGAAACCUGCAGUCAGCUACCUGUUCUCGUGAAGUCUUAAAACUCUUAUAGAAUAGCCAUUUAGGCCUGUCUGCUAGCCUCCUGAAUUCUAUAUUCUCAGGCUGAGCGAGUUUCUGUUUAUUCUCAAACCUUAGGUGAUUUGGCUAACCAUUAAAGUAAUUAGCACGAUGAUUGGAACCGAGCAUUCUCUCCAACACAGCAUUUCUUUUGGCACUUUGCCUCUCAUGCAGUUUAGCUCCAGAAAGUAUUAAGGAAUGACUUUAGUGCUCAUUUGGAUGCAGUAAGUGGUUUGGUCUCAGGGUGGCAGAAGGAAUGCUUUUUAUACCUUUUUACAUUUGGAUAACUUGUUUAGAAGACAGGUUCUAACUAGGUUUUGGCCUGUUAAGAACUGCAAGCUAGCAGCAGUAGCAGAACUCUUGCUAAAGGGGCAAGCUUAUUAAGAAAUUUGAGUAUUUAAAAAUUGACCUACCAUAUGAUCCAACAAUCCCACUGCUGAGUAUAUACCCAGAAGAAAAUCAGCAUAUCCAAGAGAUACCUGCACUCCUAUGUUUGUUGCAGCACUGUUUAUAAUAGCUAAGAUUUAGAAGCAACCUUAGUGUCCAUCAGGGGAUGAAUGGAUAAAGAAAAUGUACCUAUAUGCAGCCAGGCGCAGUGGCUUGUGCCUAGCACUUUGGGAGGUCGAGGUGGGUGGAUCACCUGAGGUCAGGAGUUUGAGACCAACCUGGCCAAGAUGGUGAAACCUCGUCUCUAGUAAAAAUACAAAAAUUAGCUGGGCGUGUGGUGCGGGCCUGUAAUCUCAGCUACCCGGGAGGCUGAGGCAGGAGAAUCGCUGGAACCUGGGAGG